rnacentral:rRNA from 2 species
AUGAACGCUAGCUACAGGCUUAACACAUGCAAGUCGAGGGGAAACGAUAGAGAAAGCUUGCUUUUUCUAAGCGUCGACCGGCGCACGGGUGAGUAACGCGUAUCCAACCUGCCCACCACUUGGGGGUAACCUUGCGAAAGUAAGACUAAUACCCUAUGAUAUCUCAAGAAGACAUCUGAAAGAGAUUAAAGAUUUAUCGGUGAUGGAUGGGGAUGCGUCUGAUUAGCUUGUUGGCGGGGUAACGGCCCACCAAGGCGACGAUCAGUAGGGGUUCUGAGAGGAAGGUCCCCCACAUUGGAACUGAGACACGGUCCAAACUCCUACGGGAGGCAGCAGUGAGGAAUAUUGGUCAAUGGGCGAGAGCCUGAACCAGCCAAGUAGCGUGCAGGAUGACGGCCCUAUGGGUUGUAAACUGCUUUUAUAAGGGAAUAAAGUGAGCCUCGUGAGGCUUUUGCAUGUACCUUAUGAAUAAGGACCGGCUAAUUCCGUGCCAGCAGCCGCGGUAAUACGGAAGGUCCGGGCGUUAUCCGGAUUUAUUGGGUUUAAAGGGAGCGUAGGCCGGAGAUUAAGCGUGUUGUGAAAUGUAGAUGCUCAACAUCUGCACUGCAGCGCGAACUGGUUUCCUUGAGUACGCACAAAGUGGGCGGAAUUCGUGGUGUAGCGGUGAAAUGCUUAGAUAUCACGAAGAACUCCGAUUGCGAAGGCAGCUCACUGGAGCGCAACUGACGCUGAAGCUCGAAAGUGCGGGUAUCGAACAGGAUUAGAUACCCUGGUAGUCCGCACGGUAAACGAUGGAUGCCCGCUGUUGGUCUGAAUAGGUCAGCGGCCAAGCGAAAGCAUUAAGCAUCCCACCUGGGGAGUACGCCGGCAACG